rnacentral:rRNA from 1 species
UACGUGAGGUGCAAGCGUUGUUCGGAAUUAUUGGGCGUAAAGCGCACGUAGGCGGGGUGGUGUGUCGAUUGUGAAAGCCCGAGGCUCAACCUCGGAAUUGCAGUCGAAACUGCUACUCUUGAAUACUUGAGAGGGUGGGGGAAUUCCUGGUGAAGCAGUGAAAUGCGUAGAUAUCAGGAGGAACAUCGGAGGCGAAGGCGCCUACCUGGCAAGAUAUUGACGCUGAGGUGCGAAAGCGUGGGGAGCAAACAGG